rnacentral:rRNA from 1 species
CAGCACCUCAAGUGGUCAGGAUGAUUAUUGGGCCUAAAGCAUCCGUAGCCUGUUUUGUAAGUUUCCGGUUAAAUCCAUUAGCUCAACUAAUGGGCUGCCGAAAAUACUGCAAAACUAGGGAGUGGGAGAGGUAGACGGUACUCGGUAGGAAGGGGUAAAAUCCUUUGAUCUAUUGAUGACCACCUGUGGCGAAGGCGGUCUACCAGAACACGUCCGACGGUGAGGGAUGAAAGCUGGGGGAGCAAACCGGAUUAGAUACCCGAGUAGUCC